GUCCCUGGGGUGCAAAUGGUGAACGUGUUUGGCUGCUAACCAAAAGGCUGGAGGUUCGAGUCCACCCAGAGGCA
rnacentral:tRNA from 1 species